rnacentral:rRNA from 1 species
AGUGAACGCUGGCGGUAGGCCUAACACAUGCAAGUCGAACGGCAGCACAGUAAGAGCUUGCUCUUACGGGUGGCGAGUGGCGGACGGGUGAGGAAUACAUCGGAAUCUACUUUUUCGUGGGGGAUAACGUAGGGAAACUUACGCUAAUACCGCAUACGACCUACGGGUGAAAGCAGGGGAUCUUCGGACCUUGCGCGAUUGAAUGAGCCGAUGUCGGAUUAGCUAGUUGGCGGGGUAAAGGCCCACCAAGGCGACGAUCCGUAGCUGGUCUGAGAGGAUGAUCAGCCACACUGGAACUGAGACACGGCCCAGACUCCUACGGGAGGCAGCAGUGGGGAAUAUUGGACAAUGGGCGCCAGCCUGAUCCAGCCAUACCGCGUGGGUGAAGAAGGCCUUCGGGUUGUAAAGCCCUUUUGUUGGGAAAGAAAAGCAGCAGAUUAAUACCCCGCUGUUCUGACGGUACCCAAAGAAUAAGCACCGGCUAACUUCGUG